rnacentral:lncRNA from 1 species
GUCCAUUCGAGGUUCCUGGAGAAUGGCACCACUUUCUCGGGGAAGAUAUUUUUGCCUAAUUGGAUAUAUUCAUUUGGAAGUAAGAGGACCUAGAAGAAAUGAGAAAUAAAGAAUAUCAGGUUCUAAAAAUAUUUAUUAUGCUACACAGAAGCACUGCUGAUUUCAGCCCUGGCAGGACUCCUGUUUAAACAUACUUCCCAGAAAUCUUGGGCAGCUUGCCAUGGCAUUGUGUUAAGAAAAGGAUUGGUAGACAGAGAGAUGCACUGUUGAGAUUACCCUUCAGGAAGGACUUGCUACCGACUACAGGGGACAGGAAUCAGCAGACAUCCUCCAGCCAUCAGCUUCUUCAGGAUCUACCUCAGCGUCAAGGAACCACCUGACCUGAGGUCUCAUUCUUCCUUGGGCAGACUACAUCUUAUAACAAAGUGAGCAUCUACUUGUUUCCAAAGUUAUUUGGGUCAGCAUUUUCCUCCACCCACCACUUAAAACUGAUUUGUUUCAUACAUUUGAAAUGUAUGAAAAGCCAGAAAUCCAGGACCCACCCUGGCCUGCUCCCUUUUUCUCACCUACUGUGUUAAGGAUAAGUCAAUUGAGCUUCACUUCUCUAAUUGAAAUCACCGUGCUGAUGGAGUCUGUCUGUGGAAAUGAAAGGUGGCUACCAUAAUCUGUUGGGAGUUGAAUUAAUCCUCUGGGAGUGAGGCUGACCUAAUUACUCAGAAAUACUGGGCUUGCUUUCAUUCUGUGGAAUACAGCCAUGAGAAAGAGGCCAGCAUGCCAUUUCCUAAUCUUUUCUUGAAUUGCCUGAAACUCACCUAACAUGAAACUGAGAAGCCUUUUCAUUUGAAAGUGGUAUUUCUUAUGUUUUUUAUCUUUUUGCUUGAAAGUAUUCUUAAACUAAAGAAAGGAGAAACAGAAAAGGUGAAGAAGCCAAGAGGCUGGAGUUUCCUUUUGAAUGGAUAUUCAUCCAUGAAGCUGUUGAUUCUGUUUUUCUGUUCCUCCAGAUGUCUACACUUUUACCUCUGCUUGCCUGAUACAACCACCACCAGUCACCUCACAGAAUAACUCACUCCUUAAGAAUCUGAUCAGGAAUCAGCCUUCCCUGAUCACAAACACUGAGUUUAGAAGUCCCUCCACAGUGUCCCCCGUAACCCUGUGCUACCUCACUGCCUCAUAGUUUAGUGCCGUUUGUGUACAUGCCUAUCUUCGUCCAUGGAUCCAGAACAACUUGUAAAAAUGACUGUACUUAUCACCUUCAGUAUUCAAUGACUAAACUAUAAUUUUAACAUAUCUGGCAGAAUGAAUCACUUGGGGAUUUCUGCCAACACUACCAAUAUAUUACUCCUAAUUUGUAAUUAUUACUUAGCAUGGAUUAUAGUACCGGCUGUUGGAGAGCCAAUGUGGCAGACCCUAAGUGGAAUAAAAUGUCAGUAGCAGUCUAGGAGCAUAUAUUUAUUGGAAUAGAUCAUUCAUUCAUUUGUUCAUUAACUAAUUUGUUCAUUAAAUAAACAUUUAUUAAGCACUCA